rnacentral:rRNA from 1 species
UGUAUAAUGGGUCAGCGACUUAUAUUCUGUAGCAAGGUUAACCGAAUAGGGGAGCCGAAGGGAAACCGAGUCUUAACUGGGCGUUAAGUUGCAGGGUAUAGACCCGAAACCCGGUGAUCUAGCCAUGGGCAGGUUGAAGGUUGGGUAACACUAACUGGAGGACCGAACCGACUAAUGUUGAAAAAUUAGCGGAUGACUUGUGGCUGGGGGUGAAAGGCCAAUCAAACCGGGAGAUAGCUGGUUCUCCCCGAAAGCUAUUUAGGUAGCGCCUCGUGAAUUCAUCUCCGGGGGUAGAGCACUGUUUCGGCAAGGGGGUCAUCCCGACUUACCAACCCGAUGCAAACUGCGAAUACCGGAGAAUGUUAUCACGGGAGACACACGGCGGGUGCUAACGUCCGUCGUGAAGAGGGAAACAACCCAGACCGCCAGCUAAGGUCCCAAAGUCAUGGUUAAGUGGGAAACGAUGUGGGAAGGCCCAGACAGCCAGGAUGUUGGCUUAGAAGCAGCCAUCAUUUAAAGAAAGCGUAAUAGCUCACUGGUCGAGUCGGCCUGCGCGGAAGAUGUAACGGGGCUAAACCAUGCACCGAAGCUGCGGCAGCGACGCUUAUGCGUUGUUGGGUAGGGGAGCGUUCUGUAAGCCUGUGAAGGUGUGCUGUGAGGCAUGCUGGAGGUAUCAGAAGUGCGAAUGCUGACAUAAGUAACGAUAAAGCGGGUGAAAAGCCCGCUCGCCGGAAGACCAAGGGUUCCUGUCCAACGUUAAUCGGGGCAGGGUGAGUCGACCCCUAAGGCGAGGCCGAAAGGCGUAGUCGAUGGGAAACAGGUUAAUAUUCCUGUACUUGGUGUUACUGCGAAGGGGGGACGGAGAAGGCUAUGUUGGCCGGGCGACGGUUGUCCCGGUUUAAGCGUGUAGGCUGGUUUUCCAGGCAAAUCCGGAAAAUCAAGGCUGAGGCGUGAUGACGAGGCACUACGGUGCUGAAGCAACAAAUGCCCUGCUUCCAGGAAAAGCCUCUAAGCAUCAGGUAACAUCAAAUCGUACCCCAAACCGACACAGGUGGUCAGGUAGAGAAUACCAAGGCGCUUGAGAGAACUCGGGUGAAGGAACUAGGCAAAAUGGUGCCGUAACUUCGGGAGAAGGCACGCUGAUAUGUAGGUGAGGUCCCUCGCGGAUGGAGCUGAAAUCA